UACGGAGGAUCCGAGCGUUAUCCGGAUUUAUUGGGUUUAAAGGGUGCGUAGGCGGACUGGUAAGUCGGCUGUGAAAGUUUACGGCUCAACCGUGAAAUUGCAGUUGAUACUGUUGGUCUUGAGUAUACAUGAGGUGGGCGGAAUUUGUGGUGUAGCGGUGAAAUGCUUAGAUAUCACAAAGAACUCCAAUUGCGAAGGCAGCUCACUGGGGUAUAACUGACGCUGAGGAGCGAAAGCAUGGGGAGCGAACAGG
rnacentral:rRNA from 1 species